GAUGAACGCUAGCGGCAGGCUUAACACAUGCAAGUCGAGGGGUGGAAAUAGCUUGCUAUUUUGAGACCGGCGCACGGGUGCGUAACGCGUAUGCAAUCUGCCUUGUACUGGGGAAUAGCCCGGAGAAAUCCGGAUUAAUGCCCCAUGGUAUUUUUGUGUGGCAUCACACGAUUAUUAAAGAUUUAUCGGUAUAAGAUGAGCAUGCGUCCCAUUAGCUAGAUGGUAAGGUAACGGCUUACCAUGGCUACGAUGGGCAGGGGUCCUGAGAGGGAGAUCCCCCACACUUGUACUGAGACACGGACCAGACUCCUACGGGAGGCAGCAGUGAGGAAUAUUGGGCAAUGGUCGCAAGACUGACCCAGCCAUGCCGCGUGCAGGAUGACGGUCCUAUGGAUUGUAAACUGCUUUUGUACAGGAAGAAACACUCCUACGUGUAAGAGCUUGACGGUACUGUAAGAAUAAGGAUCGGCUAACUCCGUGCCAGCCGCCGCAGUAAUAC
rnacentral:rRNA from 1 species